UACGUAGGGCGCAAGCGUUGUCCGGAAUUAUUGGGCGUAAAGAGCUCGUAGGCGGUUUGUUGCGUCUGGUGUGAAAUCUCAAGGCUUAACCUUGAGCGUGCAUCGGGUACGGGCAGACUAGAGUGUGGUAGGGGAGACUGGAAUUCCUAGUGUAGCGGUGAAAUGCGUAGAUAUUAGGAGGAACACCAGUGGCGAAGGCGGCUUUCUGGACUGAUACUGACGCUGAGGAACGAAAGCGUGGGGAGCAAACAGGAUUAGAUACCCCCGUACGUCCCU
rnacentral:rRNA from 1 species